rnacentral:rRNA from 1 species
GAUCUUGGUUCAGGAUGAACGCUAGCUACAGGCUUAACACAUGCAAGUCGAGGGGCAGCAUUAUCGAAGCUUGCUUUGAUAGAUGGCGACCGGCGCACGGGUGAGUAACGCGUAUCCAACCUUCCCUAUAGUAGAGAAUAGCCCGGCGAAAGUCGGAUUAAUGCUCUAUGUUGUAUUUAGAAGACAUCUGAAGAAUACCAAAGGUUUACCGCUAUAGGAUGGGGAUGCGUCUGAUUAGGUAGUAGGCGGGGUAACGGCCCACCUAGCCGACGAUCAGUAGGGGUUCUGAGAGGAAGGUCCCCCACAUUGGAACUGAGACACGGUCCAAACUCCUACGGGAGGCAGCAGUGAGGAAUAUUGGUCAAUGGACGAAAGUCUGAACCAGCCAAAAGUAGCGUGCAGGAUGACGGCCCUAUGGGUUGUAAACUGCUUUUAUAUAGGGAUAAAGUCGGGGACGUGUCCCCGUUUGUAGGUACUAUAUGAAUAAGGACCGGCUAAUUCCGUGCCAGCCGCCGC